GGCCGAGUGGUGUAGUUGGUUAUCACGUUUCGUUAACAUUUCCGAAAUUUCUUCGGUUGUUAACGCCGAAAAGGUCCUCAGUUCGAGUCUGGGCUUGGUCA